GCCUUUAUUCGGGGGCAUCCGAUAAAAUUUGAACGAUACAGAGAAGAUUGCAUGGCCCCUGUGCAAGGAUGACAAGUACAAAUAGAGAAAUGGUUCAAAUUUUG
rfam:Capsicum annuum cultivar Zunla-1 chromosome 12, whole genome shotgun sequence